rnacentral:rRNA from 1 species
UAGGGAAUCUUCGGCAAUGGGGGGCAACCCUGACCGAGCAACGCCGCGUGAGUGAAGAAGGUUUUCGGGUCGUAAAGCUCUGUUGUAAGAGAAGAACGUGUGUGAGAGUGGAAAGUUCACACAGUGACGGUAACUUACCAGAAAGGGACGGCUAACUACGUGCCAC